CUAGCUUCUUGCCCAGCCCGGGUAGUACAAUACAACCCCCGUCCCAUCAGCUGGCAGAGGCCAGGCCAUCAGCACCCACACCCACACCCACUCCCUCCGUUCCUCCUCCAUCCUCCUGCCCCCAAGUACGGCCGCCGCCGCCGCUCACCGGAUCCAAGAAGAACAGCCGAGGGGUUCGGUCUCCCUCCCAGCAGUGACGAGCUAGCUGCUCCGUGCGUUGAUUGCGUGUUUGUUAUUACGUGUACGUCGUGUACCGGCCGUGUUUAGCUGCAGAAAAUAUAGUCGAUUGGGCUUAGGCCCCGAAGAGAUUGACAGAAGAGAGCGAGCACCUGGCGCGGCGACCGGCAUGGAACGCAUGCCGUCCCCGCCGCGUGCUCGCUUCUCUUUCUGUCAGCCUCUCCCUCGUCCUGAGCCGACGCCGAUCGAGCGUCGUGUGUGUGUAGCUAGCUAUACCUUGCUCUGGGCAGCAUCAGUCGCUGCCUGCCUAGUGGCUGCUGGCGCUAGUGGGGCGGCAGACGCUGAGACGCCACCACCGAUACUGGAAGGCAAGGAGCCAAGGAGGGAGGGGGAAGGGAAG